rnacentral:rRNA from 1 species
CGUAGGGUGCGAGCGUUGUCCGGAAUUAUUGGGCGUAAAGAGCUCGUAGGCGGUGUGUCGCGUCGGUCGUGAAAACUUGGGGCUUAACCCUGAGCUUGCGGUCGAUACGGGCAUCACUGGAGUUCGGCAGGGGAGACUGGAAUUCCUGGUGUAGCGGUGAAAUGCGCAGAUAUCAGGAGGAACACCGGUGGCGAAGGCGGGUCUCUGGGCCGAUACUGACGCUGAGGAGCGAAAGCGUGGGGAGCGAACAGGAUUAGAUACCCUGGUAGUCCACGCCGUAAACGGUGGGCGCUAGGUGUGGGGGCCAUUCCACGGUCUCUGUGCCGCAGCUAACGCAUUAAGCGCCCCGCCUGGGGAGUACGGCCGCAAGGCUA